GUCCUUGUAAAGCAAUGGAUAGCGCGUUGGACUUCUAGUUCAAAGGUUGUGGGUUCGAAUCCCAUCGGGGAUG